rnacentral:rRNA from 1 species
UGGGGAAUAUUGCGCAAUGGAGGGAACUCUGACGCAGCAACGCCGCGUGAAGGAUGAAGGCUUUCGGGUUGUAAACUUCUUUGAUCGGGGACGAAGAUGACGGUACCCGGGGAACAAGCCACGGCUAACUACGUGCCAGCAGCCGCGGUAAUACGUAGGUGGCGAGCGUUAUCCGGAAUUACUGGGCGUAAAGGGCACGCAGGCGGCCAUUCAAGUCUGACGUGAAAGCUCCUGGCUUAACUGGGAGAGGUCGUUGGAGACUGAGUGGCUUGAGGCGAUGAGAGGGGUGCGGAAUUCCCGGUGUAGUGGUGGAAUGCGUAGAUAUCGGGAGGAACACCAGUGGCGAAAGCGGCGCCCUAGCAUUGGCCUGACGCUCAUGUGCGAAAGCGUGGGGAGCGAACGGG